UACGUAGGUGGCAAGCGUUGUCCGGAUUUACUGGGCGUAAAGAGCGCGCAGGCGGUCGUUCAAGUCGAGUGUGAAAGCCCCCGGCUCAACCGGGGAACGGCGCGGGAAACUAGCAGGCUUGAGUUCGGGAGAGGGAAGCGGAAUUCCGGGUGUAGCGGUGAAAUGCGCAGAUAUCAGGAAGAACACCAAUGGCGAAGGCAGCUCUCUGGGACGGUACUGACGCUGAGACGCGAAAGCGUGGGGAGCGAACAGG
rnacentral:rRNA from 1 species